AUGUAUAUAUAGAUGUAUUAUUAGAUCACAAAUAGUAAUAAAUCUCAUCGAACUUCAUGACUUCAUUUUUAAUAUUAUUUAUUAUGACUUGUUUAUAUUCUAUAUACCUAUACUGGCUACUUCGUAGGCAUUGGUGUACUUACUAUAUAUGUACUAAGUAUCUUUAUAUUAUGCAAAUAAAAUGUAUAAAGUAUCCACCGUCAACAAUGUACAUUUUUACCCGACCAUACAAAGUGACCGUUUACAAAUUAUAACAUAUGGUAGCUUAUGGCUGUAUAUUCGAAUGAUUAUCAGGUGCUCUUAGAUUAUUAGGAAUAGGUACCUACUAUAUCUAUGCAGUUGUUUUCUAAUAACGUCAUUUAAACAAAAUACAGGCCUGCUAUAGUACUAUACAGACAUUUCAUAUUUGAUUCGUCGAUUAUUUUCAUUUCGUAUCGGAGAUUAUCAGUUAUUAUUCUAUGCGUUGCGUGUUUCUAAACCUGUUGUUUCAAAUCGUGUCUACCUUCAUCUUCGAAAAUGGUUUUAGACUUUUACUUUUUAGAAAAGUGAGAGAUGGUACCUAUUGGCGUUAUUUAUUUCCUGAGUUUACUAAGUAAUUAAUAAUUGUCUAAAACGUUAUUACCGCUUACGCAGCCCCGGGUGGCAAAUGUUUUCGACGAUGCGAUAACAUCUAUUUAAUAGCGGCCAGAGAUGUUUAACAAUUUAAUCCGGCCCCGCGUUGUAGCACACUCGAGAAUCGUGAAUGAAGUCCAGGAUGGAACUUGUGUUAAUUUAAGACAUUUUUAGAUUUUCUCAACGGUUUCUUUAAAAGCACACAGAAAAUUGACUGAUAACUAGGUAUCGAAAACUACAUCGAAGAAAUGUCGCCACCGUGAUGGUUUAUACGAUUGUGCAUUUGUGCAUACUAUUUUACCCGUACAAAUAUACAUUACUAUAUUUUAUUAUACUUUACGGUACAUUAUAGUGUAGGUACCUUUAUGAAAAACCUAUGGUGAUCAUACCAUGGUUACAUAGGCGUAGCGUGAUGAAUUUAUAUAGAGGCGCUAUAGGUAGUAGGUAUAUUAUAUUUUUGGUACACAACAUAAUAUACUUUAAAAGUGUAACUAAAAAAAUUACAGAAUGGGGAGGGCUAAACAAAAUUUUAGGGGGGAUAUAUCCCCCUUAGCCCCCCCCCCAUUCUAUACGCCUAUGUAUAGUUUUCUUGAAGAUUAUCAUUUAUCUUUAUCUUAUAUCGCAUACGGCAAACGUGCUAUGCGUUAUCGUCAUUAAUAAUAAUAUGUUAUAAUUACAAUUUAAGAUAUCUUACCUAUAUCAUAGUUAUGAUGUAUGAUAUUGUUUGAUAAAUAGUCGAAGGUUAGAUAACUGAAUAAUACAUAAAUUAAAAUAACAAACAUAUUUGAGGUUAAACACUAUUCAAAACAUCUUACUUUAUCUAAUAUAGGUAGGGGAAAUCUAGGGCCUAAAAUUGUGUGCAAUAGCACACACUAUGUACAGUAGCUAUAAUAUUAAAUGUGCAGUAGCAAAUUUAAAAGUGUGCAGUUCUUAUUUUCGGCUUUUAUACAUUUUUAUUAUUUGAUUAAUAUUCAAUAUUGGUGAUUGAAAAUUACGAAUUAGCAUAUUGUAUUUAUUUAAUAUCCUUAACAUUAAAAAUAAUACCGACUACACCAUAUUCAGGACGGCUUAAAAUUUAAUAGAAAAGGAAUGACCAAUGAAAAUAAAGUGAGCACCCACUAGAAAAAUUGUCCAGAUGCAACACUGUAUAUUAUACCUAUUAUUAUGUCUUGUACUCUCGUGGGAAUCGUGGGUGACAGUGAGAAACUCAGAAAGUUUGUAUAUAUAUCUAACACGCUGAUGGUAUCUAUAUAACAAUAUAUAUCCUGUACGGUUUUGUUUGUUUUUUAAUGCGGAGUUGAUGGUAUAGCUGCAGGUUGUAGCUAAGCAGGUCACGAUGAUUAUGCAUAAUAUAAUUCAAACAUUAUUAUAUCUUUCUCUCACACUUUUAUUAUCAUCGAAACAACAAUUAUCAUCGUCAUAACCAAUAAUAUUAUUAUAUACAUUAUACAUAUUAUAUAAAAAAAAAAAAAAAUGUUUUUAUGAUAACAAUUCUAAAC